rnacentral:snRNA from 1 species
GGAACUGAAGGUGAUCUGAAUGUGUCAGUUGUCACCCCAUUGAUCACCAGGGUAGUUCUGGCUGAUCUGGUUGGCUAGGCGGGUGUCAUGUUCCUCCUUCACUGCUCCAUGUAUAUCCUUCCUGACACUGAGUGCUCAGUGGAAGAGGACAGCCUUGCCUAGUAGAAGAGGACCCUUCUUUAGUCAAGUACAUGAGUGGCUACUAGCACCUCCAAACAGCUCUCAAAAACAAUUCAAUGCUAUAUAUUCUAUGAGAUUUGGGCUGUCCUCCCUUCUUCUCACUUUACUCAUUGAAGCAAAUGGUAUUUU